AUGCAAUCCUCCAGCAGCACAUCGCAGCCUCCAAAGCCACGCCGCUUUGAGGUUAGCAGGCGGGCCAAUGCCUUAGCUGGACCAAAGUCUCAUGGCCCUGGUUUUCAGAGGGAGGAUAAAAACAUGAACACAAUCACCACAUCUUCCCCACGCCGGGCUACCAAAGGCCCCACUGCACCCACCAGAACCAGGGUGGGAGUGCAGCCUCGGGCUGCAGUAAGCCAGUCCAGGUUUUGCUCUCAAAAACAGGGGACUACCAUCUCCAAAGCAGCCAAACCCAAACCCAAGAAUGCUCGUACGUCAGCAGCAACCAAAAUUGCUCCGGCAGUGGCUCCUCCACCUCCGCUUCCAUCUGUUCUCCCGCUUGACCCCAAUUGCAAUGAGCCAAGCCUCCCAUGUUUGUGUUGUGAUGGUCGUUCCCCACAAGACAACAACAGUAUGUUCAACCAUAACCACAAUAACAACAACACCAUCUCACUCAGACAGCAACUACAGCUUCCUCCUCCAGCCCCAUUGCCCCAGGGGCAGGAUGGGACAGCAGCCAAGGACCAACAUCCACCUCCAUCACAGUUGAAUGCCAAGCUGGAGCCCUCAGCCCGCCCCGCUGGCAGUCUGGAAAAUGAUGACAAAAAUGCAGAUGAAAGUGAGGAUCUGGACAACAAGAAAAAUAUAAAGGUACAGGAGGAAGACGAUGAAGAAGAGAGCAGUGGGGACAUUGAUAUUGAUAAUGAUGAUGAAGAGGAUGGUGACGAUGACGACGAUGAUGAUGAUGACACUUUGGUGCCCUCAUGCUGUGACUGUCCCCCAUCCCUCCUGGAGUUCUCACUCUCCUCCUCUACCUCUUCAUCCUCCACUUCCAUUAGCUCCUGCUCUGAUCUGGAGUCUGACUGUGCAGAUCAAUCUGCCUCCAUUUGUGCUUCCCAUGACCAAGAUAAUCUUUCGGUUUGUCUGUCCUCCAAAGACCAUUCUCUUCCACAAACCCCCGAAUGCCAGCCCCCUGCACGUUCACCCCCAUCCCUU
rnacentral:lncRNA from 1 species